rnacentral:rRNA from 1 species
GGGUGAAUCGAAAAUGGGCAAAUGCGUGGGGCAGGCAUGCCGCGCGUGUGAAUUAAGGCCUUCGGGAAUGUCAAGUACUUUCAGUCGUGAGGAAGGCGGUGUCGUUAAUAGCGGCAUCGUUUGACGUUAGCGACAGAAGAAGCACCGGCUAACUCCGUGCCAGCAGCCGCGGUAAUACGGAGGGUGCGAGCGUUAAUCGGAAUUACUGGGCGUAAAGCGCAUGCAGGUGGUUUGUUAAGUCAGAUGUGAAAGCCCGGGGCUCAACCUCGGAAUAGCAUUUGAAACUGGCAGACUAGAGUACUGUAGAGGGGGGUAGAAUUUCAGGUGUAGCGGUGAAAUGCGUAGAGAUCUGAAGGAAUACCGGUGGCGUAUGCGGCCCCCUGGACAGAUACUGACACUCAGAUGCGAAAGCGUGGGGAGCAAACAGGAUUAGAUACCCUGGUAGUCCACGCCGUAAACGAUGUCUACUUGGAGGUUGUGGCCUUGAGCCGUGGCUUUCGGAGCUAACGCGUUAAGUAGACCGCCUGGGGAGUACGGUCGCAAGAUUAAAACUCAAAUGAAUUGACGGGG